GAUGAACGCUGGCGGCGUGCCCAAUACAUGCAAGUCGAGCGAACGGACGAGAAGCUUGCUUCUCUGAUGUUAGCGGCGGACGGGUGAGUAACACGUGGAUAACCUACCUAUAAGACUGGGAUAACUUCGGGAAACCGGAGCUAAUACCGGAUAAUAUUUUGAACCGCAUGGUUCAAAAGUGAAAGACGGUCUUGCUGUCACUUAUAGAUGGAUCCGCGCUGCAUUAGCUAGUUGGUAAGGUAACGGCUUACCAAGGCAACGAUGCAUAGCCGACCUGAGAGGGUGAUCGGCCACACUGGAACUGAGACACGGUCCAGACUCCUACGGGAGGCAGCAGUAGGGAAUCUUCCGCAAUGGGCGAAAGCCUGACGGAGCAACGCCGCGUGAGUGAUGAUGGUCUUCGGAUCGUAAAACUCUGUUAUUAGGGAAGAACAUAUGUGUAAGUAACUGUGCACAUCUUGACGGUACCUAAUCAGAAAGCCACGGCUAACUACGUGCCAGCAGCCGCGGUAAUACGUAGGUGGCAAGCGUUAUCCGGAAUUAUUGGGCGUAAAGCGCGCGUAGGCGGUUUUUUAAGUCUGAUGUGAAAGCCCACGGCUCAACCGUGGAGGGUCAUUGGAAACUGGAAAACUUGAGUGCAGAAGAGGAAAGUGGAAUUCCAUGUGUAGCGGUGAAAUGCGCAGAGAUAUGGAGGAACACCAGUGGCGAAGGCGACUUUCUGGUCUGUAACUGACGCUGAUGUGCGAAAGCGUGGGGAUCAAACAGGAUUAGAUACCCUGGUAGUCCACGCCGUAAACGAUGAGUGCUAAGUGUUAGGGGGUUUCCGCCCCUUAGUGCUGCAGCUAACGCAUUAAGCACUCCGCCUGGGGAGUACGACCGCAAGGUUGAAACUCAAAGGAAUUGACGGGACCCGCACAAGCGGUGGAGCAUGUGGUUUAAUUCGAAGCAACGCGAAGAACCUUACCAAAUCUUGACAUCCUUUGACAACUCUAGAGAUAGAGCCUUCCCCUUCGGGGGACAAAGUGACAGGUGGUGCAUGGUUGUCGUCAGCUCGUGUCGUGAGAUGUUGGGUUAAGUCCCGCAACGAGCGCAACCCUUAAGCUUAGUUGCCAUCAUUAAGUUGGGCACUCUAAGUUGACUGCCGGUGACAAACCGGAGGAAGGUGGGGAUGACGUCAAAUCAUCAUGCCCCUUAUGAUUUGGGCUACACACGUGCUACAAUGGACAAUACAAAGGGCAGCGAAACCGCGAGGUCAAGCAAAUCCCAUAAAGUUGUUCUCAGUUCGGAUUGUAGUCUGCAACUCGACUACAUGAAGCUGGCAUCGCUAGUAAUCGUAGAUCAGCAUGCUACGGUGAAUACGUUCCCGGGUCU
rnacentral:rRNA from 1 species